rnacentral:lncRNA from 1 species
UGACUCCCUCCUUAUCUUCAUAGUCCACUUUAAGCCCAUAUCGGCCCAAUUGCUCCGGUCUCCUAAUCGGCCGAUUUCUACCAACUCCAUCAACAAAGGACAGCCGAGUGCGACCCUCGGGGUCGGGCGACGCGGAGUUCCACCCUCGGAGGGUCGGGCGCAUCCGACCCUUGGACUCGGGGUCGGGCGAGGCAGAGUUCCACCCUCAGAGGGUCGGACGCAUCCGACCCCAGGACUCGGGGGUCGGGCGAGGCGGAGUUCCACCCUCAAAGGUCAAUCGGCCAAUCCUUGACUGUAGCACCAAUCGGCCGAUUUCCAACCGUGACCUCUGUGUCUUGCCGCAUCUCCUGAUUUCUUCCUUUCCUGACGCCGAUUUUACACGUGUCAAAAUCUGGCGUCAACACAUGCCCCCCAGUUUCGGAGUAAAACAUAGUCUUUACUUUGAAAUUCUUUUCAACUUCCCUUCCGAAACAAAUGCAUUGAAAAUAUCCUUCCGUUUCGCGGUCUCCAGCCUGAUGAUUGCAAUCUUUUCGAAACGGGCGCCCACGACAACCACUCCUCCCGAAAAAAUUGAAAUGCCGGCAUGGUAAGAAUUCCGCUUUUACCCCUUCUCAGACCACCUUUAAAUAUCAGCACGUCCCGUACUCCUCCUUACGAGCUCACAUCUUCCUUCUUUAACGCACUGGCCUUCUUCUUCCUCCGGUGCCUUCCUUAGCUUCCAGU